ACAAGGAAACGAGUUUGGCAAAACGUACCAAACCUAAAACCCUAUCGAGUGUGACAUAUUAAUGACACUAAAACCUAAUUUACCUAGAAAACAUCGAGGGUCGGUAUAUUAGGUGAUUUAGCAAAUAAAGGUAUUCAGUGAAUUGUUUAGCGAACAUUAUCGUUAGAGGCAAAUUAAUUUAGCACUGAAACACUUCAAAUUGUGUUUCUCAGUUAACAAGGACUCAGCAAAAGGGAAAGAAAUACUGAGUCAGGACCAAGAGACAAAUAUCAGAGGUAGACAGACAGACAGGGCAGCAGACUAGGCUGCUAGUACCUCCAGCGAGAGAUUUUUCGGGUAUAACGAGUAUACCGCUUUUUGCAUUUUGUACUGUAAUGUAUGACCACUGUAUGUACAUAUUGUUUUGGUUUGAGCAGUUGUAAAUUCAAAUUGUAACUUGAGGUUGUAAAAUAAUUAUGAGUUAUUUUGACUUGUAAAAAAUUGUAUUAUAUUUCCUAUA